GACGAACGCUGGCGGCGUGCCUAAUACAUGCAAGUCGAGCGCAGGAAGCCGACGGAACCCUUCGGGGGGAAGUCGACGGAAUGAGCGGCGGACGGGUGAGUAACACGUAAAGAACCUGCCCUCAGGUCUGGGAUAACCACGAGAAAUCGGGGCUAAUACCGGAUGGGUCAUCGGACCGCAUGGUCCGAGGAUGAAAGGCGCUCCGGCGUCGCCUGGGGAUGGCUUUGCGGUGCAUUAGCUAGUUGGUGGGGUAAUGGCCCACCAAGGCGACGAGGAAUAGCCGACCUGAGAGGGUGAUCGGCCACACUGGGACUGAGACACGGCCCAGACUCCUACGGGAGGCAGCAGUAGGGAAUCUUCCACAAAGGACGAAAGUCUGAUGGAGCAACGCCGCGUGAACGAUGAAGGCCUUCGGGUCGUAAAGUUCUGUUGUAAGGGAAGAACAAGUGCCGCAGGCAAUGGCGGCACCUUGACGGUACCUUGCGAGAAAGCCACGGCUAACUACGUGCCAGCAGCCGCCGUAAAAC
rnacentral:rRNA from 1 species